rnacentral:tRNA from 1 species
GCUCGCAUAGCUCAGCGGUAGAGCACCGUCUUGAUAAGGCGGCGGCCGAUGGUUCGAUCCCAUCUGCGGGCACCA